UCCCUGGUGGCUCAGACGGUAAAGCGUCUGCCUACAGUGCAGGAGCCCCGGGUUGAAUCCCUGGGUUGGGAA
rfam:TPA: Bos taurus chromosome 4, whole genome shotgun sequence.